UGCUGUGAUGGUGUAAUUUGCGUCUGAUCUUGUGGUCAGUGACAGUUGCCUGCUGUCUCAAAGCUGUCACGAGAUAUUGAUGACUGUUAAAGUCUGAAGCU